GACGAACGCUGGCGGCGUGCUUAACACAUGCAAGUCGAACGAAGUGGCGAACGGGUGAGUAACGCGUAAUCAACCUUCCCUUCAGAGGGGGACAACAGUUGGAAACGACUGCUAAUACCGCAUACUGAAGGAGGGUAUUGCGUCUGAUUAGCUGGUGGGAGGGGUAACGGCCCACCAAGGCGAGGAUCAGUAGCGGGGCUGGAGUGAGUAACGGCUCCAUUGGGACGGGGGCACGGCCUAGACUCCGACGGGAGGGAGAAGUGGGUAAGCUGCAGCAAUGGAGGAAAGUCGGACGGAGCAAGGCGGGGUGAGUGAUGACGGCCUUCGGGUUGGAAGGCUCUGUGAAUCGGGACGCGGUACCGGAAUAGAAAGCGACGGCUAACUACGUGCCAGCCGCCGCGGUAAUAC
rnacentral:rRNA from 1 species